UCCCAGAUGGUGUAACGGCUAACAUUGCUGCCUUUCACGCAGCGGCUCGGGGUUCGAUUCCCCGUCUGGGAA
rfam:Dacryopinax sp. DJM-731 SS1 chromosome Tnknown DACRYscaffold_2, whole genome shotgun sequence.